GGCAAAUCUAAACUAAACAAUAUUUUUCUAUUAUUUAAAAUGGAUAUUGAAGUUGGAGGAAAUCAAAAAGCUGACAAAAGUGUUCGUCUUCUGUAGAGGAAAAAAAGGUGUUCUGCGUAUUUGUGCGUUGUUUAAUUUUGGUUUGCGGCUUUUUGCGGCUUUUCCGAUGCUUUAAUUAUUUAGAUGUGCUUGAAUUCUGUCACGCCACGUUGCUGGACGUGUGGAUGGACAGCGGGCGCCACUCUUCCGCGCUGGUUGAACUUGUAUUUGGUCAAAUAGAUGAAUGUACA